CGCCUCUUGCUAACAAAGGAAGUACUAGAGGUCCCGCCUGCCCUGUGACCACAAAGUUUAACGGCCGCGGUAUCCUGACCGUGCGAAGGUAGCGUAAUCAUUUGUCUUUUAAAUAGAGACCUGUAUGAAUGGCAUAACGAGGGUUUAACUGUCUCCUUCCCCUAGUCAAUGAAAUUGAUCUGCCCGUGCAGAAGCGGACAUAAACACAUAAGACGAGAAGACCCUAUGGAGCUUUAGACAAAAGAUCAAACAUGUAAAGAAACCAAACCAACCAAAAGGAACACGAAGGCCACAAAACCCAACGUAAACUGAUCUAAAUGUCUUCGGUUGGGGCGACCAUGGGGGAAAGAAAAGCCCCCACGAGGAACAGGGACAACCCCUAAACUAAGAGAGACACCUCU
rnacentral:rRNA from 1 species